rnacentral:rRNA from 1 species
AGCGAACGCUGGCGGCAGGCCUAAUACAUGCAAGUCGAGCGGCCCUUCGGGGCAGCGGCGGACGGGUGAGUAACGCGUGGGAAUAUGCCCUUUGGUACGGAACAACACAGGGAAACUUGUGCUAAUACCGUAUGUGCCCUUCGGGGGAAAGAUUUAUCGCCAUUGGAGUAGCCCGCGUUGGAUUAGCCAGUUGGUGGGGUAAAGGCCAACCAAGGCUACGAUCCAUAGCUGGUCUGAGAGGAUGAUCAGCCACACUGGGACUGAGACACGGCCCAGACGCCUGCGGGAGGCAGCAGUAGGGAAUCUUGCGCAAUGGGCGAAAGCCUGACGCAGCCAUGCCGCGUGGAUGAUGAAGGUCUUAGGAUUGUAAAAUUCUUUCACCGGGGAAGAUAAUGACGGUACCCGGAGAAGAAGCCCCGGCUAACUUCGUGCCAGCCGCCGCAGUAAUAC